GAUGAACGCUGGCGGCGUGCCUAAUACAUGCAAGUCGAGCGAACAGACGAGGAGCUUGCUCCUCUGACGUUAGCGGCGGACGGGUGAGUAACACGUGGAUAACCUACCUAUAAGACUGGGAUAACUUCGGGAAACCGGAGCUAAUACCGGAUAAUAUAUUGAACCGCAUGGUUCAAUAGUGAAAGACGGUUUUGCUGUCACUUAUAGAUGGAUCCGCGCCGCAUUAGCUAGUUGGUAAGGUAACAGCUUACCAAGGCAACGAUGCGUAGCCGACCUGAGAGGGGGAUCGGACACACUGGAACGGAGACACGGUCCAGACUCCUACGGGAGGCAGAAGUAGGGAAUCUUCCGCAAUGGGCGAAAGCGUGACGGAGAAACGCCGCGUGAGUGAUGAAGGUGUUCGGAGCGUAAAACUCUGUUAUUAGGGAAGAACAAAUGUGGAAGUAACUAGGCACGUCUUGACGGUACAUAAUCAGAAAGACACGGCUAAAUACGUG
rnacentral:rRNA from 1 species